ensembl:lncRNA
GGUUCUAUUGGGGCCCAUAGGGUUCCAUUGGGGUCCAUAGGGUUCCAUUGGGGUCCAUUGGGUUCCAUUGGGGUCCUACUGGGGUCCAUUGGGUUCCACUGGGGUCCAUUGGGAUCUGUUGGGGUCCAUUGGGGUCCAUUGGGGUCUGUUGGGGUCCAUUGGGGUCUACUGGGGUCCAUUGGGUUCCAUUGGGGUCCAUUGGGGUCUAUUGGGGUCUAUUGGGUUUCCAUUGGGGUCUAUAGGGUCCAUUGGGUUCCAUUGGGGUCUAUUGGGGUCAUUGGGGUCUAUUGGGUCCAUUGGGGUCUAUUGUGGGUCAUUGGGGUCAUUGGGUUCCUUGGGUCUACUGGGGGGUCCCCCAAUUUGGGGGCUUUUCCUUGGGGUCUAUUGGGUUCCAUUGUGUUCAUUUGGGGUCUAUUGGGGUCCAUUGGGUUCCAUUGGGUUCCAUUGGUGUCUAUUGGGGUCCAUUGGUCUAUUGGGGUCCAUUGGGUUCAUGGGCGGUCUAUUGGGUCCAUAGGUUCUAUUUGGGCCUAUAGGGUUCUAUUGGGGUCCCAUAGGGUUCUACUUGGGGCCCAUAGGAUGCUAGUUGGGUUCAUUGGGUUCCAUUGGGGUCCAUUGGUUCCAAUUGGGUUCAUUUGGGUUUUUGGGUUCCUUGGGGUCUAUAUGGGGCUCAUGGGAUUCCAUUGGGGUCUAUUGGGCCAUUGGGGUCAUAGGGUUCUAUUGGGCCCAUAGGGUUUAUUGGGGUCCAUAGGUUCUAAUGGGGCCAAUAGGGUUCUAUUGGGUCCAUAAGGUUCUAAUGGGCCCAUAGGGUUUAUUAUUGGGGUCCAUAGGGUUCUAUUGGGGCCUAU